UACGUAGGGCGCAAGCGUUGUCCGGAAUUAUUGGGCGUAAAGAGCUCGUAGGCGGCUUGUCACGUCGGGUGUGAAAGCCCGGGGCUUAACCCCGGGUCUGCAUUCGAUACGGGCUAGCUAGAGUGUGGUAGGGGAGAUCGGAAUUCCUGGUGUAGCGGUGAAAUGCGCAGAUAUCAGGAGGAACACCGGUGGCGAAGGCGGAUCUCUGGGCCAUUACUGAUGCUGAGGAGCGAAAGCGUGGGGAGCGAACAGG
rnacentral:rRNA from 1 species